rnacentral:rRNA from 1 species
GACGAACGCUGGCGGCGUGCUUAACACAUGCAAGUCGAACGGAAAGGCCCUGCUUUUGUGGGGUGCUCGAGUGGCGAACGGGUGAGUAACACGUGAGUAACCUGCCCUUGACUUUGGGAUAACUUCAGGAAACUGGGGCUAAUACCGGAUAGGAGCUCCUGCUGCAUGGUGGGGGUUGGAAAGUUUCGGCGGUUGGGGAUGGACUCGCGGCUUAUCAGCUUGUUGGUGGGGUAGUGGCUUACCAAGGCUUUGACGGGUAGCCGGCCUGAGAGGGUGACCGGCCACAUUGGAACGGGGAUACGGCCCAGACUCCUACGGGAGGCAGCGGUGGGGAAUGUUGCACAAUGGGCGGAAGCCUAAUGCGGCAACGCCGGGUGCGGGGUGACGGCCUUGGGGUUGUAAACCGCUUUCGCCUGUGACGAGGCGUGAGUGACGGUAAUGGGAGAAGAAGCACCGGCUAACUACGUG